GAAACUCGCCUACAUGAAGCUGGAGUUACUAGUAAUCGCAGAUCAGAAUGCUGCGGUGAAUGCGUUCCCGGGUCUUGUACACACCGCCCGUCACACCACGGGAGUUGGAGACGCCCGAAGCCGAUUAUCUAACCUUGUGGAAGAAGUCGUCGAAGGUGGAAUCAAUAACUGGGGUGAAGUCGUAACAAGGUAGCCGUAUCGGAAGGUGCGGCUGGAUCACCUCCUUUCUAAGGAGA
rnacentral:rRNA from 1 species